GCUAUUUGGUGUCUUACAUGGGAAUUGUAUUAUAAUCUUGACUAUUCUUCUAGGUGCCUUAUGCCUCUGGCAUGCCCAUCAAGAAAAUAGGCCAUAGAAGUGUUGAUUCCUCAGGAGAGACAACAUAUAAAAAGACAACCUCAUCAGCCUUGAAAGGUGCCAUCCAGUUAGGCAUUACCCACACUGUGGGGAGCCUGAGUACCAAACCAGAGCGUGAUGUCCUCAUGCAAGAUUUCUACGUGGUAGAGAGUAUCUUCUUUCCCAGUGAAGGGAGCAACCUGACCCCUGCUCAUCACUACAAUGACUUUCGUUUCAAGACCUAUGCACCUGUUGCCUUCCGCUACUUCCGGGAGCUAUUUGGUAUCCGGCCCGAUGAUUACUUGUAUUCCCUCUGCAGUGAGCCGCUGAUUGAACUCUGUAGCUCUGGGGCUAGUGGUUCCCUGUUCUAUGUGUCCAGCGACGAUGAGUUCAUUA
rnacentral:sRNA from 1 species